GACUAACCCAAUCACUGGACAAUGAUUGACAUUCGUGUUUAUCCUGUUCGGUUAGUCCAGUCUAAGCCCUUCGAGGGCUACGUUUAGGGGAAGUGUUAAAGUUCAUACCUUAGGGUAUUUUCCAGCCCCAAGCUCUAUAAGUUCUAGGUUAAACAGGUUUAGGUGAUUACGGAUAGCCCAGUGCUUAGAACAAAGUACCGCCCUUAAACAUUGACGAGGAAAACUUUAC
rfam:Halothece sp. PCC 7418, complete genome.